rnacentral:rRNA from 1 species
GACAGAGGGUGCGAACGUUGCUCGGAAUUACUGGGCGUAAAGCGCGUGUAGGCGGGCAUGCAAGUCAGGUGUGAAAGCCCUGGGCUCAACCUAGGAACUGCACUUGAAACUGCAUGUCUUGAGUGCCGGAGAGGAUCGUGGAAUUCCUGGUGUAGAGGUGAAAUUCGUAGAUAUCAGGAGGAACACCGGUGGCGAAGGCGGCGAUCUGGACGGUUACUGACGCUGAGACGCGAAAGCGUGGGGAGCAAACAGG